rnacentral:tRNA from 1 species
AUGAAGGAGAGAGCUGUGCAGGGCACGGCCCAGCUGCUGCGGUGGGAUGAGAUGAUGUCAGAUGUCCAGAGGCCGCCCCUCCCUGGGAGAACCCGUGACAGCCACGCGAGGACCACCGCAGCAAACUCUCGCCCGCAACGCCACACGACCGCAAGUGCAACAACCAUAACAACCACAGCUCCACAAGCGCAGCAACCCCAGCAGGCACAAACCACAACUGCACAACCACAACCAGACUACUUAUACAACCCAAACGCCCACCCCAAUCACAGCGUCGGCUGCUCCUCACCCAGUGGGCGUCAUGUUCUCAGUCCUCACAAAGGCCCAGAGAGGGAGGUCCCCAAAGCCUCAGCUACCGGUCAGCAGGGGCCCCGGGAGGCCGGGGAACUUCUGAGGACCCGCGGGAGUGGGUCGGGCCUGGUCCCAAAGCGAGGCUCACAGCAUUGUCGCCUUCUUCUCUGAGGGAAGGUGCGCUCUCUUUUGGACUUCCAUUUCAGCUUGCUUAUAAGUCCCCCAGGAUGGGGCAUCUUCCUUGUUUUCACUUCCUGAGGAUGGCCGUCUUUCUUUCCUUCCUUCCUCCCUCCCUCCUUCCCUCCCUUCCUUCCUCCCUUCCUUCCUCCCUCCCUCCCUUCCUUCCUUCCUUGUUUUAUUGACACAUGUUAAUAAACAAUCUUUGCACUUCUGUAGUACUCUUUUCCCCAAGAAGCACUGGGGAUUAAACCCAGGAACUCGUGCAUGUGAGGCAGGUGCUCAACCACCAAGCUAUACCCACCCGGGGCUUUCUUAUGCUUUCUUUCCAGUGGAUGCCUGUGGUGCUCAGC